GCUGUGGCUCAGGGGUAGAGCAUCUGCUUCACAUACAGAAGGCCCCUGGUUUGAUCCCCAGCAUCUCCA
rnacentral:tRNA from 1 species